UACGAAGGGGGCUAGCGUUGCUCGGAAUUACUGGGCGUAAAGGGCGCGUAGGCGGCACUGUUAGUCAGGCGUGAAAGUCCUGGGCUCAACCUGGGAACUGCGCUUGAUACGGCAGAGCUAGAGGAUGGAAGAGGGUCGCGGAAUUCCCAGUGUAGAGGUGAAAUUCGUAGAUAUUGGGAAGAAUACCGGUGGCGAAGGCGGCCCCCUGGACAAAGACUGACGCUCAGGUGCGAAAGCGUGGGGAGCAAACAGG
rnacentral:rRNA from 1 species